rnacentral:rRNA from 1 species
GACGAACGCUGGCGGCGUGCUUAACACAUGCAAGUCGAACGGAAAGGCCCUGCUUUUGUGGGGUGCUCGAGUGGCGAACGGGUGAGUAACACGUGAGUAACCUGCCCUUGACUUUGGGAUAACUUCAGGAAACUGGGGCUAAUACCGGAUAGGAGCUCCUGCUGCAUGGUGGGGGUUGGAUAGUUUCGGCGGUUGGGGAUGGACUCGCGGCUUAUCAGCUUGUUGGUGGGGUAGUGCCUUACCAAGGCUUUGACGGGUAGCCGGCCUGAGAGGGUGACCGGCCACAUUGGGACUGAGAUACGGCCCAGACUCCUACGGGAGGCAGCAGUGGGGAAUAUUGCACAAUGGGCGGAAGCCUGAUGCAGCAACGCCGCGUGCGGGAUGACGGCCUUCGGGUCGUAAACCGCUUUCGCCUGUGACGAAGCGUGAGUGACGGUAAUGGGUAAAGAAGCACCGGCUAACUACGUG